rnacentral:lncRNA from 1 species
AAUUUGUUUUUUAAAUUCUUAUAAUUAGAAAUGUUUCUUGAGCACCAAAUCAGCAUAUUAAUGAUCUGAAUGGUAAUGUAAAAAUUGUAUUUUAACAUAUGCUAAAAAAUAUAUAUUAAAACAGAAAUAAGUUAUUUGAAAAUGUAAUAAUGUUUCAAAAUAUUACAGUCUUUACUGAAUUUUUUUAUCAAAUAAAUGCAGUCUUGCUGACUUUAAACAUUAUUUUUACCAACCCAGAACUUUUGAACGAUAGUAUCUACAAUAAAAUAAAAAGAUAAUUCUAUUAAUAAAUUAAACGUUAAACAGUUUAUGUUUCACUACACAAAUGUUUCCAAUAUCUCUCUCCCUCUCUGUUCCCUGUCUCUCUCCCUGUUAGUAAGCUGAUCUCUUGGCACCGUGCUGGAGGAGUCUUCCUUUUCUGGAAGGACCUGAUGCAUGCUGGUCGAGCCCUGCACAUACACACACGUACACACACAGCACAGAGGUGUCACAUUUAAUAUUUCACUCUGUGCACACUUGCAAGCGCACACACAUUCUCAGAGAGCAUAUGAGCAGAGUAUUGGCAGCAAUCUGAAUAUAUCUCUGUUUACUGUGAUCAUCUGUGUGGGUGUGCUUAACAGAUCAAAGCAGACAGAAGAAGGCGAGUCUUCUGGAACACAGAGGGAGAGAGUUCACACGAGAGAGCGUGUGCAUGUCUCUCAGCAUCUCUCCCAUCAACAAACACCAUCAGCGGAGCUUUAA